rnacentral:rRNA from 1 species
UACGUAGGGCGCAAGCGUUAUCCGGAAUUAUUGGGCGUAAAGAGCUCGUAGGCGGUUUGUCGCGUCUGCCGUGAAAGUCCGGGGCUUAACUCCGGCUCUGCGGUGGGUACGGGCAGACUAGAGUGCAGUAGGGGAGACUGGAAUUCCUGGUGUAGCGGUGAAAUGCGCAGAUAUCAGGAGGAACACCGAUGGCGAAGGCAGGUCUCUGGGCUGUAACUGACGCUGAGGAGCGAAAGCAUGGGGAGCGAACAGG